rnacentral:rRNA from 1 species
UACGAAGGUCCCGAGCGUUAUCCGGAUUUAUUGGGUUUAAAGGGUGCGUAGGCGGGUUAUUAAGUCAGUGGUGAAAGCCUUCAGCUCAACUGAAGAAUUGCCAUUGAUACUGAUGAUCUUGAGUGUGAUUGAGGUGGGCGGAAUGUGUCAUGUAGCGGUGAAAUGCUUAGAUAUGACACAGAACACCAAUUGCGAAGGCAGCUCGCUACACAUAUAUUGACUCUGAGGCACGAAAGCGUGGGGAGCAAACAGG